rnacentral:rRNA from 1 species
CCCUUAGAUGUUCUGGGCCGCACGCGCGCUACACUGACGAAUGUAACGAGCUUAUAACCUUGGCCGAAAGGUCUGGGUAAUCUCCAAAUUUCGUCGUGAUGGGGAUAGAUUAUUGCAAUUAUUAAUCUUCAACGAGGAAUGCCUAGUAAGCGCAAGUCAUCAGCUUGCGUUGAUUACGUCCCUGCCCUUUGUACACACCGCCCGUCGCUCCUACCGAUUGAAUGGUCCGGUGAAGCGCUCGGACCGCGGCCUCUUGACGGUUCGCUGUCGAUUGGCUGUGGGAAGUUCGUUAAACCUUAUCAUUUAGAGGAAGGAGAAGUCGUAACA